rnacentral:rRNA from 1 species
GAUGAACGCUGGCGGCGUGCCUAAUACAUGCAAGUCGAGCGAACAGACGAGGAGCUUGCUCCUCUGACGUUAGCGGCGGACGGGUGAGUAACACGUGGAUAACCUACCUAUAAGACUGGGAUAACUUCGGGAAACCGGAGCUAAUACCGGAUAAUAUAUUGAACCGCAUGGUUCAAUAGUGAAAGACGGUUUUGCUGUCACUUAUAGAUGGAUCCGCGCCGCAUUAGCUAGUUGGUAAGGUAACGGCUUACCAAGGCAACGAUGCGUAGCCGACCUGAGAGGGUGAACGGCCACACUGGAACUGAGACGCGGUCCAGACUCCUACGGGAGGCAGCAGUAGGGAAUCUUCCGCAAUGGGCGAAAGCUUGACGGAGCAACGCCGCGUGAGUGAUGAAGGUCUUCGGAUCGUAAAACUCUGUUAUUAGGGAAGAACAAAUGUGUAAGUAACUAUGCACGUCUUGACGGUACCUAAUCAGAAAGCCACGGCUAACUACGUG